CCUUGUACUGGCUUCUGCUAGCACACUGAGUUAGUUGAAUAAGACCCGAUAAAUUGUUUGUUGCCAGAGGCAGCGUAAUCCCAACCAUUUCUUCUCAGUAGUAAGUCUCACUGAAUUCAAUGGCGCUUACUCCCAGAGACAACUGGAUUUUAUGCUGAUUGCAUCCAUGCAGAAUUCAAGGUGUCGGCUUUGGGCAGCAGCAUCAAGGAGUGUGCAGCCUUGCCUCCUGCAAUCUUGGGACAUUUGGAUCCAGUAUUCGGAUCAGAGGUGUUUCCAUAACAGGAAUCAGAAUGCUCUCUUCUGAUCCUUCCAAGCUUGGACCAGGUGUUUUUAUUCCAUGGUAUGCGCAAAACUCAAUAGCAUUCUUCAAAUGCUUGAAAGGUUGUCACACUGAGGAAGGCCAGGAUCUCUUCUCGAUCGUUCCAGAGUGCAAGACACAGAAUAAUGGGCUCAAGUUACAGGAAGCUAGAUUUCAACUGAACAUCAAGAAAAACAUCUUAACUGUUAGAGCGGUACGACAAUGAAACCAGUUACCUAGGGAGGUGGUGGGCUCUCCAACACUGCAGAUCUUCAAGAAGCUGCUGGACAGGCACCUGUCGGGUUCUCGAAAUCCUCAUCCUCCUCGUCCUGGUCAUGGGUGAAGAGCGAGUCCAGCAGUGCUUUCCGGCCGCACACCUCCAAGGCCCAGCCCAGGUACCUCUCCAAGCGGUGGCACAGCACCUCCAGCUCCGCCUUGGCCAGCACCGGACUGCUAGGGAAGAGCAGCGCCCACAGGCCGCUGUAGCUGCCCAGGGCCGGGGGCAGGGCUGGGAAGCAAGGCUCCAGCAGUGGGUUCAAGGCCGCCAGCUGCUGGUGGAUGCCCUGCAAGGCCUGUGGGGAGUACAAGCCAGCCCAGCUCAUCUGCUGCGAGUUGCCACCACCACUGCUUGCUCCUCCUGCAAGGUCCGGUUGUGGCAGGUCGUCACCGCGAACUUGCUCUCGACGCCAUUCGCGCCCUUCUCUCAUGGCGCUCACGCCUCCCUCAUGUGUUAGCGCAGCGUGCACGCCGCACAGACAGGGCAGCUCUCUGCCGUCCACCCGCCCCACUUCCUGGUGCCUAGGGGUGGGGUGGCUCUGGGUGAUACCCCCCUCUCAUGGUGUCACCCUGGUGCGGUCCGCACUCCCCGCACCCAGCUAGUGAUGCCACUGGUGUCACAUUUUGCAUAAAAUGAUGGUGACAAAUCAGGUUGAAAGUGAAGUACAACACUUAUAAAAGUUUAAUCCUGUUUUAAUGCUGAUUUUAUAUGUUUAUAUGCUUUAUAUUUUAUAGGUUCUUAAUGAUAUGUACUUAUUUUUAUCUGGAAGCCGCCUUGAGUUCCAGUUUGGAAAAAGGGCAGGGUAUAAAUAAAGAUAAUAAAAUAAUAAAUAAUAAUCAGCUGUUACCACAUCAAAAAUGACUAGGGCUGCCAUCCAAUACAUGUCUAUUCAGAAGUAGGCUCCAUUCAAUUCAAAUGGACUUGAAAAAAAAUGGAAAUGGACUGCCUUCAAGUCGAUUCUGACUUAUGGCGAUCUAUGAAUAAGGUUUUUGUCAGCUCUACACUGCCUCAGCAGUGUCAGGGGGGGCUGGAAAUUCCUGGGUCUUUGGCAGGGAAGGAAAGUCCUUAGCCAGCAGUCGGGUUGUAAAUCUGCCAGGCCUAUCCGAAGCAUACUUGCCGAGUCAGAAGUCCAGAAGUGAGGUCAGUGGAGGUCCGGGAUCAAUUGCCAAGGAGGUCAGUCAAAGAGAUGCUGCAGGGAAACUAGGUCUACACAAAGCCACGCCUGACGUUGCAGUCAGCAACAAGCUGCAGCCAAGGUGUGCCUUAUAAAGAGCAGGAUGGACAGCAGGUGUGAGCCCUCAGCGUUUGGGCCUUAAGGAGACAGGCCUGCCUCUCUUCUGCCUGACCUUCUGCUGUCUACGUUCUGCAGGUGAGGGGGGAGUAUCCUGUUCACUGUCUGUGUCUGGCUGCAGGGCCUCUGCUGUCCCUGGGGUGCUCUGCAGCUGAGGGGCAGAAGGAGCUGGAUUCUCAGGAGGCUCCUCCGUGUCUCCUGCUGCUCCUGGGUCUGCUGCUGUUACUCCCGAGUCAUCCUCAUCUGAGGAGUCCUCUGACGGGGCCAUGACACUUUUCAUGGUAAGCAGUAUUCAGAGGUGGUUUACCAUUGCCUUCCUCUGAGGCGGAGAGGCAGUGACUGGCCCAAGGUCACCCAGUGAGCUUCAUGGCUAUGUGGGGAUUCAAACCCAUAGUCCAACACUCUAACCACUAUACCACACUGGCUCUCUCAAAUGGACUUACUUCCAGGUAAUUGCCUAUUGGAUUGCAGCCUAAGUCUCUGGCAAAAAUUUCAUUUAAGAAACAAAACAAAACAAAAUACCCUUCUUGUAAAAGUGGCGUCAUUACUUAGGGAGUCCAAAACUCUUAGUGAAUUUGCCAAGCACAUUUCAGCAUAUUUGAGUCUGAGUCUUGGGGAGUCUGAAUGAACUCCAAGCACAGAAAUUAUAAUAAAAGUAAAAUUUUGUUAAUUUGAGGAAAUCAGAAUUUACAUGGCAUUAAAGGCAUAAAGAGUGCUCUUUGCACUCAGGACCUCCUUGCGGACUUCCCAUCUGGUUGGCCACUGUGUGAACAGGAUGCUGGACUAGAUGGGCCACUGGCCUGACUCAGCAACCUCUUCUUAUGUUCUUAACAGGUUCAAAACUGGUGUCAAAAACAGUUAUAAUGACCUAUGAUAUUAAUCUGACAAGGAGAUUCUUGUGUCCUUGGUUACACAGACUAAUUCUAAACAGUGGAGGCUGGUCCAUUAGGGUGAAUGGGGCACUGCCCUACCAGCUGCAGUCUGCCCUAAGCCAUCCCCCACCUGCCUGCUUUCCUACUUACAACUGGUCCAGAGAGUGGCACUGCCUGUCGGUUUCCUCCUUCUUGGUCUCAGUGUUGCCCUUGUAGAACUCAGCAGGGAGGUAUGGACAAAACUGGAAUAAGCUAGCUCUGCCUGUCAUUGGCUGUAUUGGAAAAUUGCAGAAGAUCUUGAGGGGUUAGGUGGAAUCCAACAACUUAUCCUGUUAAUGCCCUAUCUGGAGCCAAUAUGAAGACCUGAAACUGCUUAAUAAUAUGCUUUUAUAUAUUGUAAGCAUGUGUCAUUGUAAUAAGAAGAAGCCUUAAGUCUGUGCAGAGUCAGGAUGGCAACUUGUAAGGAGAAGUCUGUGAGGAAUAGGUAGGGUCACAUAGACUGUCAGGAGAAGGGGGGCUACUGGGCAGUAUAGGGGAUGUGCCCAGGAAGCUUAUAUAUAGAAAUAAGCUGCCAGGCUGACUCAUGGAGCAGUCAGAUGACUAGACGUCUAAAUGAGCACAAGGCUGGCACAAGUCUUGUGUUGAUUGGCUGGGCAAACCCCUUUGAGUCAACCGGUAGGGGAUGACGCCAGCCCUUAGGAAGUGAAGACAGCCUAUGAGCUUACAACUAAGGGGAAGGACUUAGCUGUGUGACAUGGCCCACUAGUAUAUAAAUGAUGGCAGCCAACUGCUCUAAUGAGACUCUAUGCACAUAUGUUAAGUUAUGGGAUAGGAGGAGGGGAGUACAUGAUUCAACCCCAGAGACAUUCAACCCCUUCUGCUAAGCUCUAGAGAUAGGAGUCUCUAGACAGGAGCUUAAUCAGGUUGUAUAUUAGCAUCUGCUCUGUUAAUGCUAAGUAACUCUGUAGUGCUGAGUUGCUCUCUUAUUCUGUUAUCUCAUGAAUAAACUGUGUUA